rnacentral:rRNA from 1 species
GACGAACGCUGGCGGCGUGCUUAACACAUGCAAGUCGAACGGAAAGGCCCUGCUUUUGUGGGGUGCUCGAGUGGCGAACGGGUGAGUAACACGUGAGUAACCUGCCCUUGACUUUGGGAUAACUUCAGGAAACUGGGGCUAAUGCCGGAUAGGAGCUCCUGCUGCAUGGUGGGGGUUGGAAAGUUUCGGCGGUGGGGGAUGGACUCGCGGCUUAUCAGCUUGUUGGUGGGGUGGUGGCUUACCAAGGCUUUGACGGGUAGCCGGCCUGGGGGGGGGACCGGCCACAUGGGGACUGAGCUACGGCCCAGACUCCGACGGGAGGCAGCAGUGGGGAAUAUUGCACAAUGGGCGGAAGCCUGAUGCAGCAACGCCGCGUGCGUGAUGACGGCCUUCGUGUUGUAAACCGCUUUCGCCUGUGACGAAGCGUGAGUGACGGUAAUGGGUAAAGAAGCACCGGCUAACUACGUG